UAAACACUUCCGCCGGGAAGCAAAUAAAUAAGAGUAAUUAUAUAUCUCAUUAGGCCUUUGAAGAGAUAUACAAUUGCUCUUUUUUUGG
rnacentral:ncRNA from 1 species